GUUUCUACAAUGUGCGACAUUAUAAUAUUCAGUACGAAAGGUUAUUAUUCAGGUCAGAUAGCUGAGAGGCAGAUCGAUACUGAACUUAGUACUGAUUCCAUGUGUUCAUUCUUUAUUUAUUUUUUAUAUGUCGCUGGCAACAUUGAACAGACAUAGAUGGGGAGACAUAAUCAAUGGGAUAUGCUGGUAUCAAGACGGAAAACCUUAUAUUGUUUAAAGUAUCGAUUUUAUCUGAUUUAAGUGGAGCAGUGAUAAUUAAACGUAAAAUGUUACAGAGAAG
rnacentral:lncRNA from 1 species